GGGCGAUUGGCUCAGUUGGUUAGAGCGUCACAUUCACAUUGUGGAGGUCACAGGUUCGAAUCCUGUAUCGCCCA
rnacentral:tRNA from 4 species